ensembl:misc_RNA Metazoa_SRP Metazoan signal recognition particle RNA
GCCAGGCACGGUAGCUCGUGCCUGUAAUCCCAGCACUUUGGGAGGCCGAGGUGGGUGGAUCACCUGAGGUCAGGAGUUCGAGACCAGCCUGACCAACAUGGUGAAACCCCAUCUCUA